rnacentral:rRNA from 1 species
AUGAACGCUGGCGGCGUGCCUAAUACCUGCAAGUCGAGUGAACAGAUGAGGAGCUUGCUCCUCUGACGUUAGCGGCGGACGGGUGAGUAACACGUGGAUAACCUACCUAUAAGACUGGGAUAACUUCGGGAAACCGGAGCUAAUACCGGAUAAUAUAUUGAACCGCAUGGUUCAAUAGUGAAAGACGGUUUUGCUGUCACUUAUAGAUGGAUCCGCGCCGCAUUAGCUAGUUGGUAAGGUAACGGCUUACCAAGGCAACGAUGCGUAGCCGACCUGAGAGGGUGAUCGGCCACACUGGAACUGAGACUCGGUCCAGACUCCUACGGGAGGCAGCAGUAGGGAAUCUUCCGCAAUGGGCGAAAGCCUGACGGAGCAACGCCGCGUGAGUGAUGAAGGUCUUCGGAUCGUAAAACUCUGUUAUUAGGGAAGAACAAAUGUGUAAGUAACUAUGCACGUCUUGACGGUACCUAAUCAGAAAGCCACGGCUAACUACGUG